GACACUCCACUAGUCAGGGAAAUGAGGUGGAACCAGCAAAGAAGACAGAAACAACAGCCACAGAGCUAAAAAGGAGAAGCAAGUGAGUCUCCAAAACUAAGUGAAAAAGAUGUGUUUUGAAGAAAAGGGAGUGAGCAACUGUGUUGAGUGCUGAAGACAGGUCAAGUAUAAAGAGGGCUGAGAUUGGACCACUGGAUUUGGCAGCAUGGAGGUACCUGAUGCCACCAAUUCCUGAGUUUUUCUGCUGUUCAGUGGAGUGGACUAUCGCCUUCAAAUUAGCCUGGCCCUGGGCAGGAAGAGAGAGUACCUGGAUCACCAUGGCAAAAUCGGAGAAGGCGUCACAGAAGAGGAAGAUACGUAUGCGCUUCUUAAUGUGGCAUCAUCUCUAACAAAAUACUUGCAUAAUGCACAUACAUCAGCCACAGUGCCUGGGUCAGCCUCCACGGUAUCUUCAGGGAAAUGAAGACCCUGAAUCAGCCCAUCAGAAGCAGGAGAUCCCUUUCGUCGACCUUCUCAUUCCAUCUCUAUGCUGGAGCAUUCUUGUGACCUAACCAUAUUGAAACUGCCUUUGCAAAAUAUGACUGAGACAGUGAAAGAGGGACGCCCAUUGCCAUGGCUUGAGGCCUAGAGAAGAGGCCCAUGAGGCAAGGAACUGAAGUCUUCUUCAGUCUUCCUACAUCCAGCAAGGAACUCAGGUCUUUUCAAUGAGUGCAGUCAGCUACCACUCUUGCCAAGAGCCAUGAGUGUCUGUCAUCUUAGAAGCCAAUCCUCCAUCCCAAUCAAGCCUUCAGAUGACUGCAGGCUUGGCCAACAUCUUGUCUACAACUUCACGAGACACUCUUUCCCUGGGCCAAGCAGAAUCUGUGCACAACCAUGCAUUCUAGAGCUUAGGACAAAGCACAAGUCUACUGUCUAGCAUCUGCCUGUGGCCUAGGCCAUCUCCG
rnacentral:lncRNA from 1 species